UUGGAGGGCAAGUCUGGUGCCAGCAGCCGCGGUAAUUCCAGCUCCAAUAGCGUAUAUUAAAGUUGUUGCAGUUAAAAAGCUCGUAGUUGAAUUUCGGGAUCAAUUUAUUGGUCGUGCCAACGGUACGCACUGGUACAAUUGGUUUCCCCCUUCUGACGAAGCAUGAUGUCAUUAAUUUGAUGUCGUGGGGAAUCAGGACUGUUACUUUGAAAAAAUUAGAGUGUUUAAAGCAGGCUAACGCCUGAAUACAUUAGCAUGGAAUAAUGAAAUAGGACGGAUUGGUUCUAUUUCGUUGGUUUCUAGGAUCACCGUAAUGAUUAAUAGGGAUAGUUGGGGGCAUUAGUAUUCAAUUGUCAGAGGUGAAAUUCUUGGAUUUAUUGAAGACUAACUAUUGCGAAAGCAUUUGCCAAGGAUGUUUUCAUUAAUCAAGAACGAAAGUUAGGGGAUCGAAGACGAUCAGAUACCGUCGUAGUCUUAACCAUAAACUAUGCCGACUAGGGAUCGGAUGAUGUUAAUUUUUUAAUGACUCAUUCGGCGCCUUACGGGAAAC
rnacentral:rRNA from 1 species